CACCGCCUGCGGUGUUGGCAGUUCUUCGCCAAUCCCUUAGAACCUGUAUCACAGACCGGGGAUCGUUUUGCAGGCGCCGUUGUGCAUGUCCCGCUUUUGACGGGAAAGCCUUAAGGCGUCGUAGCGGUCCCCACUUGAACCAUUAGGUUCAAGGUACCCCGGGGAGUUGCGGCAUUUGCGGGUGGUGC
rnacentral:other from 1 species